UGCAAGUCGAACGGCAGCACGGGCUUCGGCCUGGUGGCGAGUGGCGAACGGGUGAGUAAUACAUCGGAACGUACCCAGAAGUGGGGGAUAACGCAGCGAAAGUUGCGCUAAUACCGCAUACGUUCUACGGAAGAAAGUGGGGGAUCUUCGGACCUCAUGCUUUUGGAGCGGCCGAUGUCUGAUUAGCUAGUUGGUGGGGUAAAGGCUCACCAAGGCGACGAUCAGUAGCUGGUCUGAGAGGACGACCAGCCACACUGGAACUGAGACACGGUCCAGACUCCUACGGGAGGCAGCAGUGGGGAAUUUUGGACAAUGGGCGCAAGCCUGAUCCAGCAAUGCCGCGUGAGUGAAGAAGGCCUUCGGGUUGUAAAGCUCUUUUGUCAGGGAAGAAACGGCUCCGGCUAAUAUCUGGGGCUAAUGAUGGUACCUGAAGAAUAAGCACCGGCUAACUACGUGCCAGCAGCCGCGGUAAUACGUAGGGUGCAAGCGUUAAUCGGAAUUACUGGGCGUAAAGCGUGCGCAGGCGGUUUUGUAAGUCUGUCGUGAAAGCCCCGGGCUCAACCUGGGAAUUGCGAUGGAGACUGCAAGGCUUGAAUCUGGCAGAGGGGGGUAGAAUUCCACGUGUAGCAGUGAAAUGCGUAGAGAUGUGGAGGAACACCGAUGGCGAA
rnacentral:rRNA from 1 species